GGUUAGCAGGCAAUAUUAACCAGGUGUAAUUGUGUCACCUCUUGCGUUCAUUGCACGCAGAGUCAGGGUAUAUGCAACAGUUUGGGCUGCCUGGCUCUUUGCGAACUAAUUUGCCAGAAUUUUACGUAAUUAUGACAUAACAUUGAAGAUUGUGCAAUGGAUGCCACCCGUUAGAUAAAAUACAGAGCGGAAUAAACGUUUUGUUUUCGAGGUGAUAGUUUCUAGAUUUGACCUAAGGCUUGUAUUUCUGUGUGUUUAUUAUAGUUAAGUCUAUGAUUUGAUAUUUGAUAGAGCAGUCUGACUGAGGGGUGGUAGGCAGCAGCAGGCUCGUAAUAGUCAAAGUUAUAUGGUUUAGAGAGAAAUAGCCGACGCGUUAUAAUUCCUGUAAUAACUUACGGCUGAACUUGAAAGGGGUUCCUUCAUUAUUUUACCGUUCAUGUCUUCAAUAGAGGAUGUCUUGAUCUACUUCAGAUAAGGUCUGUGUUUCGUGCUUAAACCGCCUCUGUUCAUGUCUUCCAUAGAGAAUGUCUUGAUCUACUUCAAAUAAGGUCUGUGUUUCGUGCUUAAACCGCCUCUGUUCAUGUCUUCCAUAGAGAAUGUCUUGAUCUACUUCAGAUAAGGUCUGUGUUUCGUGCUUAAACCGCCUCUGUUCAUGUCUUCCAUAGAGAAUGUCUUGAUCUACUUCAGAUAAGGUCUGUGUUUCGUGCUUAAACCGCCUCUGUUCAUGUCUUCCAUAGAGAAUGUCUUGAUCUACUUCAGAUAAGGUCUGUGUUUCGUGCUUAAACCGCCUCUGUUCAUGUCUUCCAUAGAGAAUGUCUUGAUCUACUUCAGAUAAGGUCUGUGUUUCGUGCUUAAACCGCCUCUGUUCAUGUCUUCCAUAGAGAAUGUCUUGAUCUACUUCAAAUAAGGUCUGUGUUUCGUGCUUAAACCGCCUCUGUUCAUGUCUUCCAUAGAGAAUGUCUUGAUCUACUUCAAAUAAGGUCUGUGUUUCGUGCUUAAACCGCCUCUGUUCAUGUCUUCCAUAGAGAAUGUCUUGAUCUACUUCAAAUAAGGUCUGUGUUUCGUGCUUAAACCGCCUCUGUUCAUGUCUUCCAUAGAGAAUGUCUUGAUCUACUUCAAAUAAGGUCUGUGUUUCGUGCUUAAACCGCCUCUGUUCAUGUCUUCCAUAGAGGAUGUCUUGAUCUACUUCAAAUAAGGUCUGUGUUUCGUGCUUAAACCGCCUCUGUUCAUGUCUUCCAUAGAGAAUGUCUUGAUCUACUUCAAAUAAGGUCUGUGUUUCGUGCUUAAACCGCCUCUGUUCAUGUCUUCCAUAGAGAAUGUCUUGAUCUACUUCAGAUAAGGUCUGUGUUUCGUGCUUAAACCGCCUCUGUUCAUGUCUUCAAUAGAGAAUGUCUUGAUCUACUUCAGAUAAGGUCUGUG